GACGAACGCUGGCGGCGUGCCUAAUACAUGCAAGUAGAACGCUGAAGGAGGAGCUUGCUUCUCCGGAUGAGUUGCGAACGGGUGAGUAACGCGUAGGUAACCUGCCUGGUAGCGGGGGAUAACUAUUGGAAACGAUAGCUAAUACCGCAUAAGAGUAGAUGUUGCAUGACAUUUGCUUAAAAGGUGCAAUUGCAUCACUACCAGAUGGACCUGCGUUGUAUUAGCCAGUUGGUGAGGUAACGGCUCACCAAGGCGACGAUACAUAGCCGACCUGAGAGGGUGAUCGGCCACACUGGGACUGAGACACGGCCCAGACUCCUACGGGAGGCAGCAGUAGGGAAUCUUCGGCAAUGGACGGAAGUCUGACCGAGCAACGCCGCGUGAGUGAAGAAGGUUUUCGGAUCGUAAAGCUCUGUUGUAAGAGAAGAACGAGUGUGAGAGUGGAAAGUUCACACUGUGACGGUAUCUUACCAGAAAGGGACGGCUAACUACGUG
rnacentral:rRNA from 1 species